rnacentral:rRNA from 1 species
AUUGAACGCUGGCGGCAUGCCUUACACAUGCAAGUCGAACGGUAACGCGGGGCAACCUGGCGACGAGUGGCGAACGGGUGAGUAACGCAUCGGAACGUGCCCAGUAGUGGGGGAUAGCCCGGCGAAAGCCGGAUUAAUACCGCAUACGACCUACGGGUGAAAGCGGGGGAUCGAAAGACCUCGCGCUAUUGGAGCGGCCGAUGUCAAAUUAGGUUGUUGGUGGGGUAAAGGCCUACCAAGCCUGCGAUCUGUAGCUGGUCUGAGAGGACGACCAGCCACACUGGGACUGAGACACGGCCCAGACUCCUACGGGAGGCAGCAGUGGGGAAUUUUGGACAAUAGGCGCAAGCCUGAUCCAGCCAUGCCGCGUGCGGGAAGAAGGCCUUCGGGUUGUAAACCGCUUUUGUCAGGGAAGAAAUCUUCUGGGCUAAUACCCCGGGAGGAUGACGGUACCUGAAGAAUAAGCACCGGCUAACUACGUGCCAGCCGCCGCCGUAACAC